rnacentral:lncRNA from 1 species
UGAAUUAUCGAUUGUCAACCCUGAUGCUCCCAUCAUGCUCAAUCGCAUGCUUAGACUACUUGCCAGCCACAAUAUCGUCAUCUGCAAAUCAAAAUCAUAUAGUAAUUGUGAUGAAAACACCAUAGUUGGUACUACGUUAUAUGGUAUUGGCCCUAUAUCUAAGUAUUUUGUCAAAAAUGAGGAUGGUGUUUCACUAGCUCCCAUGCUUGCCGCAAUCCAAGAUAAGGUUUACAUGAAAAGUUGGUAAGCUAUUUUUUUAUCAUCUUUAAUUCCAACUUUAAGAAAUCAAUCAUAACAUGUUAUAUUUAUAGGAAAACAUAAGAUAGUUUGAGACAUUUGAAACUAGGCCGUCCAUUUGAGAUAUGUAUCAUAUUAUACUUAUAUUUAAUCAUAUUAUACUUAUAUUUAAUCAUAUUAAAGAAACCAUUAGAUUUAAAAUUAACGACAUAAAUAUUGAAGAUAUCUCUUAUAAUAUCUCAAGAUUUUUUUUAUAGGUACUACUUGAAAGAAGCAGUGAUGACAGGUGGUAUUCCAUUCAACAUGGCGUACGGAAUGUCAGCUUUUGAGUAUCAUAGUAUAGAUGUGAGGUUCAAUAAUCUAUUUAAUAAAGCAUUUUUUAAUAUGACAAUCCUUAUGAAGAAAAUUCUUCAUUUAUAUAAUGGAUUUGAGAGUAUCAACAAAUUGGUUGAUGUUGGUGGGGGCACUGGAGCCAAUCUAAACAUCAUAAUCUCGCAACAUCCAACCAUAAAGGGUGUCAACUUCGACCUUCCUCAUGUCAUCAAAAAUGCCCCCUUAUUUAAAGGUAACAUAAUAUAUCCAGAAUCAGUAUAUAAUUGAAUGUUUUGCGGAAACUAAUUAUGUAUGAUUGUGUUCUGUUUUACAGGAGUGAAACAUGUUGGCGGAGACAUGUUUGAGAAGGUUCCUAGUGGUGAUGCCAUUUUUAUGAAGGUAUAUAUCUUAAACUGGCCUUUAAUUUUCCAUAUAUUGAUUCUAACCCAGAUAAGUACAUCACUGUUUUGUUUUAUGCAGUUUAUCCUACAUGAUUGGAGCGACGAUCAUUGUGUGAAGUUAUUGAAGAAUUGUUGGAAACAACUUCCAAAAAAUGGAAUGGUUAUCGUCUGUGAAUUUACUAUUCCCGUUGAACCACAAGAAGAUAAUUCAGCUUUCUAUAGUGAUAUGUCGAUGUUGACACUAAAUCCGGGAGGUAAGGAGAGGACUGAAAGUGAAUAUAGUUUACUGGCGAAGAAAGCAGGAUUUGUCGAUUUCAAAGUUGCAUGUGAUGUAUAUGGAAUGUACAUCAUGGAAUUCAGUAAGUAGUUGCACGCCCAAAUUUCUUCCUUAUGUGGAAAUACUAAAUAAAAUUAAAGCUUAUAUACACAACUUGAUUAGUCCAGUUGGUAACUAUCACUAUUAAGGUGGACGAACUGUUAAAGGUCCAGGGUUUGAGUCUCAAUGUAUGUAUUUUAAUUUAUAUUUACUUUUGUAUCAGUUUAUCAAAAAAUAAAAAUGUUUGCAAUAUAUAUAUAUAGAGAAAAAAUCAGGAACGACCCUGAUCGCACGGUGCCCUAAAACGGUACCUGCCCCCUCCGCCUUGCGAUUCCACAUCCACGGUCGUCUCCUCUCCAAGCCAACGUAUCUACCGAUGGCCAAUCUACCUCUAACAGAGUAAUGUGAGAUACUGUCAGUAACUGCGAUUUCGGUCCCGCAACAGAGUAACUGCGAUUUCGGUUCCGCGGAACCCAUCGCGAGUUCCGCGGAACUCGAUCGCGGUUCUGCGGAACUCGAUUUCGCAGAACCGGAACCGAAAUCGCGAUAGUGAGGGCCUCUGACACUGGCAGUGUGCCGGAAACGAAUCUUGCUGCGAAGAAGCCAAAGAUCUUAGUUGCCGGAGGCGGAAUCGAUUUGAGUACCAACUGCACAAACAUCGGUUGGUGUUCUUUUCCACCACUGGAAGCCUCAAUUGCUUUUUUCCCAACAAUCAUCUUGGUUUUGUGGUUGAAAUAACGCAGACCCCAAAGACCUUUAUUCAGAGCAGUUGAACUCGCACCCAAUUUUGAUGCAUACAUCUCUGCAAACUGAGCAAUGCCGAAUCCCCAACCAUCUAGCGCACAGACGAAGACCACAUUUCCUUUCUGUGGCUGGAACGUAUCUGCCUCAUUGUCUUCCUCCUCUACGAAUUCUUCUCCUACAGUGCUGGAUCCAGUGAUGAAGAGAUCCACAUCAGAGAGGUACUUGACAGAUUUAAACCCACUGAUAAUUCCAUUGACAUCGUGAAUAAUCCUUUGCAAUUUCGUAUAGGCUUCCAUCGGACUCAACUUUAACUCUGUGAUCAAUCGAUCGAUCUUGUUGAGGACGAGACAAGGAGUCAACUUCUCAAUCCAUGCCUGACGGAGAGCAGCAUGGGUUUGGAUAUGAACACCUUCGACGGAAACAACCAGAACCAAAGCCCCAUCACUUAAUCUGGCGGCAGUGGACACCUCGCUGCAGAAGUCGAUGUGUCCAGGGGAAUCAAUAAGGUUUAUGGAAUGUUCACCGUAUUUCAAUAAAAUAGAAGAGCUUUUCAUUGUGAUGGCUCGCCGUUGUUCCGCGGAACUCGAUCGCGGUUCCGCGGAACUCGAUCGCGGUUCCGCGGAACUCGAUCGCGGUUCCGCGGAAUCGGAAUCGGACCGCCGUGGAAUCGGAAUCGGAACGACGCGGAAUCGGAACGUCGUGGAAUCGGAAUCGGAACGACGCGAAAUCGGAAUCGGAACCGGAACCGUACGGAUCGAGGAGGGGAACGCACGGUGCGGACGGGCCGUGCCAGAUGUUUUUCCUAUAUAUAUAUACGUGUCUAUAUUUAUAUUUGUUUAAGAUGAAUGUCUAUAUACAAUUUCCAUUCUCAUAUAUACGUGUAUUAGGUCGUGGUAGGGGUGAGAAUGGUCCCGGGUCACCCCUUAGACCCGUCUCGUACGUUCCGUGUCUUGGUGGGAACAGGAUCGAGGUAGGAUUUUGCCCCGAAUUUUUUUUCCCGCCUUGUUGCUCCGGUCAUUUUAUGGAGCAGGUGUUAGGGCAGGGAAAACUAUAAUUUUCCUUUUAUUUUUAGCCUCGAUCAUAUUUUCGAGGGCGGGUCUCAGAGCUUGUAAAUGGUACAUCAAAAUUUGAAUUCGAGUUUGAAUUUUUUUAAAACUAUUUGAAUUUGGUUAUUCAAAUUUCAAAUGCGAAUUCAGUUUUCAAUUUUUGAAUCCGUGAAAUAUUUGGUCGAAUAUACGAAUUCAAUUCAACAAUUUGAGGUAUUAGACAUCUCAACUAAUGAUCAUAUAAUACAAAACACACCAAAAAAAGAGAAACAGUCCUCAAUCAACAAUGACCCAAUAACAUCAUUGGUGACUAAGAUAAGUAUCUCAGACAAACAAAAACAUUAUGAAAAAUCUACUAGUCCAAAAUAGCAAACAAAAACACUCUUCUGGACUAAUUAGAGAAUGAGAAGAACAUAUCCAAAUCUGAAUUGGGAGAGAAAAUUAAAAGCACAAAGAUGUCAAAAACAUUAAAAUCAAAAAGGUGAGAAGACCCUUCAAAAAGACCAACUAAAUAUGAUGAUAUCUAUUGUCCUAGUUUCAAAGAAACCAGAAAAUGAAAGUAUAUCAAAUCACAGGUUUAAUGAAAAACAUAAAGAUUUUGUGAAAACAAUCACAAAAGAAACAAAAUCAAAACAUUACCAUCAUGCCAAGUGUUACCCAAAAUGGCGUCAGACUAUGAAUGAGGAAAUGUUGGCUCUUAAAAAGAACAACAUAUGUUCCAUAUAUAGUACCGUUACCAUCUAACAAAAAGCCCAUAGGCUCAAGAUGGAUAAAAUAAAAUACAAAUCUGAUGAGACCAUUGAGAGAUACAAAGCUCGACUACUAACCAACUCAAUACCCAAACUAGUAUCAUUCAAAACACUAUUAACCAUAGUGGAAGACUUAAAUGAAGCUCCAUCAAAUGGAUGUAUACAAUGCAUUCUUGCGCACAUGAAGACCCAAAUGAGGAAAUAUAUAUGAUUAUAGCCCAAAUGCAUGUUCUGGAUUUUUAUGGCCAAAAGAUUUUUCAUUUUUCACAACACACCAUAAGACCAAAAACUGAUUCUUUCAACAUGCAAGGAGUAGCUCUUAAAUGAUUUUUAUGGAUGGAGUCCAGCAACUAUCUGACUACAUGGCUUGCAUUUGUCAAGUCUAUAUUAAAGAAAUUUAAUCCAACUACAUGCACCACUCCAGGUGGAAAACUCAGUAAAUUUGUUUCAAACAUCAACAGUUGCUGAUUUCAUGGAGAAAUUUGAAGAUUACUCAUCAAAAGUAAUAGGAAUCCCUGAUUAGCUAUUAUUAAAAUGUUCCUAUCAUGCCCAAAGGAUGAUAUUCAAAAAGAUGUAGUGACACAGCAAAACUUGAAGAUUUACCAGAGGCUAUGAUCAAGGUGGCUAUUCAUCUUGAAAAACAGGGAACAAGAAGCACUUCAACCUUCAAACAAGGAGGAUACAAAUCCAUCCAUGAAAGGCAAUAUAUACUACACCAAGAAUAAUAUUAAGUGAGUAUAUAACUCUAAUAUGGCCAGCAACACAAUCACCAACACUCCCAAAACAGAAAAUCUAAACCCAAAUUUCAAGAGCCUCACAUUUGCUGAGAGAAAAAAAAGAACUUCCAAAGGGUUAUGCUUUAAUUAUGAUGAAAAAUUCUCACCGAGACACAAAUGUAGAGGAAAAUUAUUCAGAUUUUCAGAUAAAAACAACACCUUCUGAGAACUAGCAGAUACAGAUGAAGGAGAAGAAGAAGCUGGAAUUAAAAUUCUGAAGAUCGAGGAAGAGUCUGAAAUCAGCCUUCAAGCAUUACAGGGAAGAAUUGGCAUAAUAAACAUCAGACUGGAAGGCUUCAUCAAAAGCUUUAAGACAGACCUUUCAAUCAAAAUGGAACAUACACAAGAAUGGUGGUAGGAUAUUGGAAUAUUAAAAUACAAAUCACUUCUUACUUUCUUUGUAGAUCUUAGAAGAUUAGAAGUACAAGUGUUGAACCGUAGAUCUCGAUCUUUUUGAAAGCUUUUUGGUGCUAGACCACAACUUGAGGGAUGAAUGAUUGAACUCAAAGAUUGAAGAUUUGAAGAGAGUUUGGAAGCUCAAAAACGUUGUAGUGUGUUGGCUUCAAAUGAUGAAAGUUUCCCUCUAUUUAU